rnacentral:rRNA from 1 species
GACGAACGCUGGCGGCGUGCUUAACACAUGCAAGUCGAACGGAAAGGCCCUGCUUUUGUGGGGUGCUCGAGUGGCGAACGGGUGAGUAACACGUGAGUAACCUGCCCUUGACUUUGGGAUAACUUCAGGAAACUGGGGCUAAUACCGGAUAGGAGCUCCUGCUGCAUGGUGGGGGUUGGAAAGUUUCGGCGGUUGGGGAUGGACUCGCGGCUUAUCAGCUUGUUGGUGGGGUAGUGGCUUACCAAGGCUUUGACGGGUAGCCGGCCUGAGAGGGUGACCGGCAACAUGGGGAAUGAGAGACGCCACAGACGCCGAGGGGAGGAAGAGGGGGGGAAGAUGGAAAAGGGGGAGGAAGCCGGAGCAAGCAACGGCGGGGGGGGGAGGACGGCUUGCGGGUGUAAAACAGCUUGCGCGGGUGAAGAAGCGGGAGGGAGGGUAAGGGAAAAAGAAGAACCGGAUAACUCCGUG